rnacentral:lncRNA from 1 species
UUUGUGCUUCUCACCCACCCAUAAAUCUAUGGGUUCCAUCUCCAAAUAAAAAAUGCAAGAGAGUAGAUGCCUCCUACGAUUGACAGAGUGAGCAGGGGUUAUUUAAUUGAUAUAGGGUUCCACCCACGGGUUCAAGGUAAUUAAGUUCUUAACUCACCAAGCCAUGGCGUCGUGUACAAUCUUAGCCCGAAGGAUUGCGGCGGAGCUUUGUUCCUCGUGUAAAUAGUAAGGGUUUCAUCAUCAUUAGGGCUGGAGUCGACGAAUAAGAAUAAGAACGGUCAAAAGUCAACAACUGGGAUGUGUAUGGUUUUAGAUUCUCCUUUAGCAUACAACCUUAUCCAGGUCUCAAAUUGAAACCUCGAAGGAAAUGAAGUGGAGCUCGGGUUGGUAAGUCGUUCAUCAUCGAUCAUUAGGUAACAAUUCACAAUCUCAAGUCACCUAACUGACUCGCCAUUUCAAAAUUUUAUCAAUUAAUACCUAGAAGAUGUAUAUGGUUGGGUUUGAGAUACUCCAUGAAACCAAUUUUGAAAUUACGAUUUUCGCAAAGUAAUCGGCAAGUGGGUUGCCUUCAGUUGUACCAGUUCUAGAGUAGUGUGUUAGAAGUUUUUAAAAUUACGAUUUCUAAUAAUAUUGCAAAUGAUCAUUGUCAUUUGGAUUACCUUACUUUGAUCCUUAUUCUUUUCUUUUAUGUUUUACAAGUACAAUUAUGACAAUCUUAAAGAACAGAGUGAAAAGUAUUUAGAUAGCUGGAAGCUAAAAUAGAUCAUUGCCACUAAAGUUGUACUUGGUGGUUACUUAAGCUUCAAUGACACUUAUUCUUCUGGAUCAUGAAUGAUACCGACUUUUUCUCUGGUGAGUAACACAUGGCUAUAGUAUCUUCAAGAAAUUUGGCUCUUUUUUUCCUGCACUUUCUGUAGCAAAAUGCAAAAACCAUAAGAAUCGAUCAACACCAAUUCAAAACUUGCAAAAUGGAAACAAGCCCGACAACUAUUGAUAAACAAGAAGCUGUUAUAACCUACAAUGAAGACAUUUCCCGGGCUAAGGCGAAGCGUUAUGAGAAGGAAUAACUGAAAGAAAGGUGUGCUAAGCUUCUUUUAGGAUAAGAUAUCUUGUGGAAUAACAUAUGUCAGGUGGUGGCAAAGGCACUUCAUCUGCUUUGGCUUUAUAAAAUGCCAUUCAAAUCUUGCUGGUACUCUUUAUUUGUGAUUAAAAAGUUGUUUAAUUAAAUGGUUUUUGUUCAUUUUUAAUGUUUUUUAGUUAAACUUCUUAAUCUUUAUCUAAAAAGAUGUUUAAUUUAAUGAUUUUUGUUGUUAAUUUUUCAAUGUUUUUUUAGUUAAAUUUGUAGCUUCUGCGAUUAGAGAGCAGCAUAAAGUGCUCUAAUGUUGGAAGAUAUGAAAACAAGAUGGGUAAGAAAAGAUGGUCAGAACGGGUCAAAUUUAGAGAGCAACAUAAAGUGCUCUAAUGUUACCACUUUGUAGUCUUCAAAACGGGUCAAAUUUACCAUCUUUUAGUAAACGGGUCAAGGUACCGCGUUUGUAAACGGGUAAAAAUCAACAUUUUUUAAGCGGGUCAAGAUUACAAUUUAUAGUAACCGGAUUAAAUUAUCACUUUUAGGUGACCGGGUCACAUGAGCAUUUUGGUAAAAGGGACAACAUUACCAUUUUUGCGGAUGGGACAAAAUUACCAUCUUUAGUAAAGGGGUCAGGUUUACCGUGUUAGUAAGGGGUGAAAGUUACCGUUUUUAGUAAACGGGUCAGAAGGAGAUACUUUAUUAAACGCGCCAAACUCAUCCUUUUUGGUAAUCAGGUCAAACUCUUUUUUUGUAGUAAAUGAGUCAAAAUACCAUUUUUUGGUGAACUGGUCAAAAUUAUAAUUUUAGUAAACAUGUCAAAAUUGUCGCUCUUAGUAAGCGAGUCAAAUUCAUCGUUUUUAGUAAUCGAGUCAAAUUACCAUUUUUAGUGAACGGGUCGAAAUUAUAAUUUCAGUAAACGGGUCAAACAUAUCAUAUUUAGUAAACACGUGGGUCGAAAUUGUAAUUUUAGUAAACGGGUCAAACAUAUCAUAUUUAGUAAACACGUGGGUUAAAAUUAUAACUUUAGAAAACGGGUCAAACAUGUUUAGCCACGCCGGAACUUUAAUGGGUUUUUUAUAACAUUUAUUGAUCAGCAUGCACUAUAUAAUGGGGAGCAUCAAUCGGAAGAUAAAAAAGAAAAAGGGGCCAAAACUUUAUAUGCUCUAGGAAACCGAAGCAACAAGCACCUAGUGGCAUGGGAAGAAUUUGAAGCGCCCGAUGUCGGCUGAUCUCACGCAUGUGAUGUGACCAAUGAAGAUUAGUGAGUAUCUCUUUUUUUAGUUAUAUACUUUGAGGAUAAAUCGUGCAACUAUGGGUUUCAGGUCAUUUGUGAUGAUGAUGUUAGGGAAAAUAUACCUGCUAUGGUUUCUUGCAAUGAGGAUACACAAGAAGUAAUUGCUACCAAAAUAUGGUUAAUAAACAGUAAGAUAAAACCUUGUGUUUUAACAAGUCAAUUUGAGUCAGGUUAUGGUGUGCUUGGGCAAGGUUGGAGGUACAAGUAGGAGGGGUUGAAGCCAUGAAUUUUGUUGAAAAAUGGCAAGAACCCAAGGGAUUUAAUUUUUACUAGAUUACAUUGUGGGAACAAUUAAUUUGGUCUGCGCAGUGUUAAUGAAAAGACAUAGAAGCUAAGGAUGAGAAUUGGCAGGGGGCUGGCUUUGAGAGACUAGAGAAAACUUUCAUUUGGAGCAAGACACCAACUGACAUAGUGGAGUAUAUGGCAAGAUGAGUCUGUGUGAGUGCUAAUAAUAUUAAUAUUCCUAGAAGGUCAUUACAAUGAUGGAAGUUUUUAAAGAUUACAAGAGAAUUAUUAUU